UAAUGUAUAAUCACCUCAAUAUUGGAAUCGCUGCAGUUUGACUUCCAUGGAGUCUGCCAUAUUUCUACAGUAGCCCAGAAGGGACAACCUGUACAGUGGCUGCAGAUAGGGCAUUUUUUGAGAGUUUUACAGCCCGUUCUCAUUCCCAGAUCGUCAAAUACAGACAUGAAUAUAUUGAAUGGAAUUUUUCCUCAACGAUCUGCAACCUUCCCAAAGCAUUAAAGGUUUCCAGUUACAAGGUUUUUGUUAUUAUUAAUGAAGACACUCAUGGUGCACUAGUGUACCUCUGCACUGGUCAGGGAAGACUUGACAGGAAACUAUUUCAAAGUGGUUGCAUUGAUGAGAAAAGUUUGAGAACCACUGCCUGAACCAACACUCCCUUACUGCACUGAUUCAGAUGAGAGGAUUGAUACAACUCUCAUAUCUGUAUGGGGAAGAUACCGUGAGCAGCCAGUUUCCAGUUUCUGUUGGGAUGGAGGCAGAUUUUCUAUUUUCUGGAGGCAAAUAACUCAAAACCUGGACAAAUAAAACAGAAACAAUCUGCUCUUCAGAGAUUGUUGAGUCUCAUUGCCAAACACUGACGCUUUGGAUUGCCAAAGUAUUUCACCUGGGACUGAGAAUCAACCUCUACACUGACCAGAAUGACUGAACCCACCUUUAACAAACACAGACGUGAAUUAAUCAUCCAUCUUGUCAUCUCACGGUCGUCAAGAAGAUGGAGAUGGACAAAGCUAACUGGUAAAUGGAGGCGGCUGACAAAGACAUCAACAAGCUGUCCAUCUCCAUCUUCUGAGUCACAGCCAACCAACUGGAACCUGCUGAGCUUUAAACUGAAACAACCUGAACCAUGGGGAGUAAAAGUAUGGGUUUUUUUUGUAUCAAGUUUGCAUCUGUAAAUCGGGUUUGGCACGUUUAUUUGGCCCACGUACCAACACGGUCACCAGUUGUAGCAGUGACACACAGCUCAUGGAGGAUAUUACAGCAACAUCUUUGGUAUUUGUUUCGAUCUGAGAAGUUCGAGUUGCAAUACUGCUGUCGUAAAUGUGGACAGAUGUACAUUUGUUAUAAAUGACUUACAAUGAAAAUCCUGCGAGUCUAAUGCAGCAAAACAUCAAGCAAGUGCAACAACACAAGACAUAGCAAGCCUUUUAUUUCACAAAGCUCUCACCAAAGACUAAAAGUCUCAGAUUUGCUGUUGUCUGGUGGCUUCUCUCUCUUUUUCUCUUCUUAGCUUCCUCAGUCGUCCUCGUAGGUCGCUUCAUCUCUACCAUUAGCUGUGUCCAUUCUGCCCGUCAGCUCUGUUGAGUUCUGCUGAGCAAGGCACC